GUGAGGAAUAUUGGUCAAUGGGCGAGAGCCUGAACCAGCCAAGUCGCGUGAAGGAAGAAGGAUCUAUGGUUCGUAAACUUCUUUUGCAGGGGAAUAAAGUGCGGGACGUGUCCUGUUUUGUAUGUACCCUGAGAAUAAGGAUCGGCUAACUCCGUGCCAGCAGCCGCGGUAAUACGGAGGAUCCGAGCGUUAUCCGGAUUUAUUGGGUUUAAAGGGUGCGUAGGUGGUUUGAUAAGUCAGCGGUGAAAGUUUGCAGCUUAACUGUAAAAAUGCUGUUGAAACUGUCGGACUUGAGUGUAAAUGAGGUAGGCGGAAUGCGUGGUGUAGCGGUGAAAUGCAUAGAUAUCACGCAGAACUCCGAUUGCGAAGGCAGCUUACUAAGCUACAACUGACACUGAAGCACGAAAGCGUGGGGAUCAAACAGGAUUAGAAACCCGGGUAGUCC
rnacentral:rRNA from 1 species